GAGAGCAUAGCUCAGGGGUAGAGGGCACGCUUAGCAUGCAUGAGGUCCUGGGUUCAAUCCCCAGUUCUUCCA
rnacentral:tRNA from 1 species